rnacentral:misc_RNA from 1 species
CGAUGGUUGAGUUGGAGGGUCCGUCGGAGGAUGAUUUUCUCAUCGCUGGUGAGUCGUCGCCGACGGGUCGGACCAGAGAUAAAGGCAGAGGCAAAAACGCUAAGCAACUCACGUGGGUUCUCCUCCUCAAAGCCCACAGGGCCGCUGGUUGUUUAACUUCCAUUGGCUCUGCAAUGGUGGACCUCGCCGCCGCCGUUAGACGCCGUGUUGCUUCUGGACGGACUGAUGAGGACGACGCCGACAAUGACGUCACUGUUGGAG